rnacentral:sRNA from 12 species
AGCCUAAGUCCCGCAAGGGAUAUGGCACAAAAUCCUACGCGAAUAAAGAUGGUCUUCUGACCAGCACUUGUUACUUAGGUCUAUAUCCGAAAGGAUGUAGGGCGGUUCCGAAAGGAGCUGUC